rnacentral:rRNA from 1 species
AACGAACGCUGGCGGCAUGCCUAACACAUGCAAGUCGAACGAGACCUUCGGGUCUAGUGGCGCACGGGUGCGUAACGCGUGGGAACCUGCCCUUAGGUUCGGAAUAACUCCCCGAAAGGGGUGCUAAUACCGGAUAAUGUCUUCGGACCAAAGAUUCAUCGCCUUUGGAUGGGCCCGCGUUGGAUUAGCUAGUUGGUAGGGUAAAAGCCUACCAAGGCGACGAUCCAUAGCUGGUCUGAGAGGAUGAUCAGCCACACUGGGACUGGGACACGGCUCAGACUCUUACGGAAGGCAGGAGUGGGGAAUAUUGGACAAUGGGCGAUAGCCUGAUCCAGCAAUGCCGCGUAAGUGAUGAAGGCCUUAGGGUUGUAAAGCUCUUUUACCCGGGAUGAUAAUGACAGUACCGGGAGAAUAAGCACCGGCUAACUCCGUG